GGGAGGGGAAAGCUCAUCCCCUCUGGCCCUGGAAUGAUGCCUGUCUUCUCUUCUAUUCCUAGCAAGGCCCUAUCUCAAGUGGCUCUGGGCCAUACAAACAGAUGGAAAUGGGUGUGGGGAAACCCAGGCCUCCUACCCAUGCUAAGAGAGCUGCUCAGAAGCAGGCAUCCAGAACCAGGAAUGUCCCCAGUGGCCGCCCAGGGUACAAGUGGCAGGCAGCGUGGAGAAUGGCAUGUGAAGUCAUUCGUAACCUGGCCCCAGGUUGGUUUUCAAGUCUCAGAGGAGAUUAUGGAUAUGGCGGUGCCUGGCUCCGUGCUUGACCUCAGUUGCUGACCUCUAUAACAGAAGACAAAAUUGGAAGCAAGAGUGAUUCCGGAGGAGUCACACUUAGAUGUUUCCCUUACCUGUUUCUGUUCCGGAAAUUUUUAAAUCUUACUUCUCAUGAUUGUCCUACACGAAGAAUUAAAAACCACAAGAAUUCAUGGAUGGAAAACUGAGACCCAGAGAGAUGAUCGCAUUCACAUUGUAAUAAAUCAGCAAUUAACUUAGUG
rnacentral:lncRNA from 13 species